GCAUCGAUAGCUCAGUGGCAGAGCGGUGGGGGUAACCCAUGAAGCCCGGGUUCGAGCACCGGUCGAUGCA